AUCAGAGCCAGUUGCGUUUGUAUGGCAGGAAAAUGGAGGUGCCAAGUGUUGGGGAAAUAAGGAUACAUGUUUGACUUUUCUAUUGCUCUCAAUAUCCUAACUACAAUACCUCGCACAUUAUAUGGGUCAUUAAUACAUUAACAAAUAAAAUAUACUCCAAAAUAAAAAAAUAAAUGUACUGCCACCUUCACUUUCACACUAGUUUACUCAGGAAGGGUCACUUGAAAUGAACUACACAGUUCAAUAAACUUAAGCUUAUGUAUGAAAAUGUAGGUAGUGAAAGUGCUGCUGUCCAACUAUAAGAUACGAAGUAGCAGACACAUCACGAUUAUCAUUAGGUUAUUAAUUUUGUAUCCACGAAGUCUGAUUAAUUCCGCAGAUUGGUCACAAGACCUAAACAACGGACAAACUCUGCUGUUGGAAGUUGUAGGGUUUGGAAGUGGGCCAAACAGGAUACUCUCCGUUCCCAACAAGUGAAUGCCUCUCGGCUUGUAGAAACUACAGCAAACUCACCAACUUGUUUGACUUGAGUGGAGAUGUGAACAAGCUGAGGAGAUGAAAUGUGUAUACAGAAUUUCUAUCGGAAAAACUGAAGGGAAGAAGACACUUGGGAAAGAAUAAUGUUGGUGUAACUGUGUGGCGCCAUUAGAAAUAGAUAUAUUACGCUCCUGUCUACAAAAAGCCGGUGUUGGACACAAUCUUCCGUGUAAAGAACUCAACUCAAUAAAUGAAAUGCAUCUUAAACGGCAUUCGUCUAUUUAACAGCCAGUCUAAAAACUACACAUUAAGAACUAUAAAUUAACUCAUGUUAGGCCUAUAUAUAAAAUAUCUUUCGUCCAAUUUUCACCGGUUCAUCUUCUCUGCUGGUAACUACGUCCGUGGUUAUAAAGACCCAUACUAUUACCCUUACACCUUCUUCUUGGUCUUCAAAUAGACUUCCACUAGGGUUUCUCAUCAAAAUUAUGUACGCUUUCCUUGUAUCUUCACAUUAAAAGCUUGUAAGAAACUUAAAACUCA